rnacentral:misc_RNA from 1 species
GGGACCACCACCCAAACCCUAGAUCCCGCCACCACUAACAAUGUGAUGACGACGUUUUCUCCGUCCCUAACGUCGAAAUCAUCAAUCCCACAGCCCCUACCCCCACCAGCGACAAGAACCACCAUCACAGCUACGGUAGCCAGCGCCGCCGCGGUCGUCAAACACUCCCCGGACAAGCCCAAGAAGUCCCUGCCACCCGUGAUCAAUGGAGGGGUGGGGCCUGCUCCGCCUGUGGAGAGUGUGGCAAGGGUAGUGCCCGCGAUGGAUGCUGUGGUGAAGGUGUUCUGCGUGCACACGGAACCAAAUUUCUCUCCCGUGGCAGCGAAAGAGGCUGUCUAGCUUGAGCAGUAGUGGGUUUGACUAAUUCUCAUUCUGCAGAGCACUAUAGCCAGGUUAUGCACAAGAAGCAUCGCUCGGAUGCCAAGUAUUUGGCUACUGUGCUCGCUAUUGGGACCGAGGGCGAUAUUGGUAAGACGAGCAUUUAUUAGUUUUUAGUGUUGUUAUUGGGCUUUUGAUGUUUAUAUUCGUGUGCAUAUUAUCUUUGUAUGAUAUACAUUUGAGGAAUGUAGCAACUUGACGUGAUUGCUAGCGCUACUCAUUUUUUGAGAUAUACUUGUGUCAAGUUAAUGCUGUAUGCAAUGGUUCGAUCUACGUAAGAAUUUCUCUUCCAUGUAGAAGAUUUGUUAAGUUAUAUGAAUGUAGAAUGAAAUGGAUGUGAUGAUUAAGAAACCUGAAUGCAAGUUUAUAGGAAGUGAAGGACUAGGAUUUAGCCUAAAGAUCGUAUGAAUGCCUUUAGCUGUAAAUAUGUCCUACAACUAGAGAAUGAGAGUAAUGAAUUCUAACUAUGAACUCUAGCAAUGAGAAAUGUCCUGAGGUUGAACUAGCAAGGUGAAGUGGAUGCUAAUGUAUUCCUUUAGUUUAACAUGAUGUGUUGAUAGUUUUUUUUUUUCCUAAGUGGAUGCAAAUAAUGAAAAUUUUUGUUUAUUCAAAUUUGGGAUUGUGUGAUUUUGCAGCUCUGCUAACAGUCAAUGAUGAUGGGUUUUUGAAAGCAGUGUCACAUAUUGAAUUUGGAGAAUUGCCUGCACUUCAAGAUGCUGUGACUGUUGUGGGUUUCCCAAUUGGAGGAGACGAUUUCUGUGACAAUUGGUGUUGUGUCACGAAUAGAGAUCCUGUCUUAUGUUCAUGGGUCCACUGAGCUUUUGGGUUUGCAGGAUAUAUUAUUACUAUCCUAGCUUUGUCAUUGUUGAUGCUGGUAAUUCUAACUGUUGCCCUUGUACUCCCCUCUCAUUAUUUCUUUGCAGAUGGACGCUGCUAUAAACUUGGGAAAUUCUGGUGGGCCUGCCUCUAACGACAAAGGACAUCGUGUGGGCAUUGGAUUUCAGUCUCUUAAAGGUGAAGAUGUUGAAAAUAUAGGGCAUGCCAUACCAACACCAGUCAUCAUCCAUUUUAUACAAGAUUAUGAGAAUAAUGGAGCAUAUACAAGUAACUUAGUUACAACCAUACAUCUUUUGAACUCUGUAGAGGAUAGUGGAGCUAUUAAGGGGAGGAACUGCCUUUCUUCAUUCUUAGAUGGCUCUUUAUUUUGCAUUUUUGGGUACACUGUUCAUAUAUGUAAAUACAUAGACUGUCUAAACUUAAUGGAUUCACUGUCUUGUGUAUAGUAUAUCUGUUGAUGCUUCCUACGUCUAGUAUAGUAGCCAUCUUUUGUUUUCAAGUUUAGUUUCUUACGCUGGUUGGUACAACUUAGUGCAUUUGUAGUUUGAAUCCUUCUUCUCACUAUUUUUUUUAACCGAACUAAGGCUUAGUUUACAAGGAUCCUUAACCUCCAUUCAGCUCUAUUUAUGGCCAGGAUUUCUAUUAGCUAUUAUGAUGUUAGAUUAUUUUUUACCACUUCAGUCCAUGUCAUUUAUUCCCCCUUUCUCAUUGAUAAAGAAGAGAUCACAUCAAUGCUGUGUAUGUGUGGUUUCUGUACAAUUGUGAAUACUGUGAAAUUGAAUUACACAAUGUCUGUUAAUUGUAUCACAUGCUUCACUGUUCUUGAUUAAAAUCAAUAGUCAUCAAUACCUGCUGGUAUCCCCAUUUCUUGGGAUUGAAUGGCAGAAAAUGGAAAAUCCAGAUUUGCAGAUGGAUAUGGGGUAUGAAGAAUUGACCCCACUGCUCCGGAAUCUGAAUUUUUGAAACCAUCAGAUAUUAUUCUCAGUUUUGAUGGGGUGGAUAUUGCCAAUGAUGGGACAUGUAUGUGUCCAUUUCCUAUUUUCACAGAAGGCACCUGAAGCCUAUUUGGGUACAUGUGUAUAUAAAUGAGGUGCUUAUUAACUUUGGUAUUCAUACUUUAUUGUUUGUAACACAGCAGUUCAUUCCUUUCAUUCUUUAUUUUCAGUUCCCUAUCAGCAUGGAGAGAGCAUAGGUUUCAGCUACCUUGACUCCCAAAAGUUCACUGGGGAUAAUGCAGCAAUUAAAGUUCUCGUAAUUCGGAGACUCUAAACUUUGACAUCAAACUUUCUACUCACCGAAGGCUCAUUCCACCGCAUGUCAAAGGCAGACCUCCUCCAUGUUACAUUAUUGCUGGAUUUGGGUUCUCCAUUCCAAUCAUAACCCAAAAAUUCAUUCUUGGGUAAGAUAACAAAUAAUCUAGUAAUGGGCUGAUCUUAUUCUCAUCUUCAAGCCGCUGAAGAUGAUAAUACACUUUCCAGCGUCACCAAGGCUGCUUUGUGGUCAAGCCCGUAUCAACGCAUUCUGGUAUAUCACCAAGAAUGGCCACCACCUCCCCACCAAGGAAGAUUGUCAUUGAUGGUUCUCGUUGGUGCAGAAUGCAGCCGCGUGGUACUAUAGUGUAGCUCAAUUGAUUGAGUAAAUUACAAGGAAGUUUUUGAGGCUUAACAAAAUUCACAAAUUAAUUUUUAAUGUAAAUUUGAUAAUAAUUUAAUCUUUAAAUUUUAUUUCUGUAAAUAAUUUAGUCUAUCACAUUUUACUUUUACUAAUAAAU